rnacentral:pre_miRNA from 1 species
GGUACUUGAAGAGAGGAUGCCCUUUGUAUGUUCACUUUAUUAUUAAUGGCGAAUAUACAGGGGAGACUUAUUUCCAUAUC